UCUUCAACUGGUGAAGCUGCUAACCAACUUACUAAAGCAUCCAAUACUCAAAGAUCUACAUCAUCCAUGGUUUGUGGUGGAUUAAAUGAGCCGUACGUUGAGCUGAAGAGGCUUGUGAAUUCACAAGAAAUGUUGUACCAUAUGGCUAGCUAGUUGCAUAUUUAAUAUGUUUAGUAUUUUUGUAAGGCAUAAUAGUAUAGAUAAAGCAGUUGUUGAAUUUUGGCUAUAUUCAAAUCUUGUAUGAAUUCUUUUUUAUGAUAAUAAUAUAAAAUUAAAUAUUUUGGAUGA